rnacentral:rRNA from 1 species
UAACGAAUAUUCCGCAAUGGACGAAAGUCUGACGGAGCAAUGCCGCGUGCAGGAUGAAGCGGUUUCGCCGUGUAAACUGCUGUCAGGGGCAGGAAAAACUGAUCCGCCCCAAAGGAAGAGACGGCUAACCCUGUGCCAGCAGCCGCGGUAAUACAGGGGUCUCGAGCGUUAAUCGGAAUUAUUGGGCGUAAAGGGUGCGUAGGUUGUUUGAUAAGAUAUAUGUGAAAUACCUGGGCUCAACCUGGGAAGGUCAUAUAAGACUGUCAGACUCGAGUAUGGGAGAGGGUAGAGGAAUUUCCGGUGUAGCGGUGAAAUGCGUAGAUAUCGGAAGGAACAUCGGUGGCGAAGGCGUCUACCUGGCCUAAUACUGACACUGAGGCACGAAAGCGUGGGGAGCAAACAGGAUUAGAUACCCAAGUAGUCCCUGAGCGGGCUGGCAAGGCGCAU